ensembl:lncRNA
CCUUGGGCAAGAUACUAACCCCAAGUUGCUCUCCGAUGCAUCCAUCGGAGUGUGAAUGUGUGUGAAUGUUAGAUACUCAGCACUUAAACUUAGAAGAAGUGCCUGUGUGAAUGGGUGUGAUUGGGUGAAUGAAUUAGCUGUGUAAAGCGCUUUGAGUGCUCAGACAGAGAACAAAAGCACUAUAACCAGUCUGUUUACCAUUUAACAGACGUGGAGCCUCAGAUUAACAUCAGGUUAUUGACAGGUUAAUGACAGGUUAUUGAUGGGUUAUUGACAGGUUAUUUACAGGAUACAGAUGGGUUAUUGACGGCUUAUAGAGAAGUUAUUGACAGGUUACUGACAGGCUAUUGACAGCUCAUUGACAGGUUAUUGACAGGUUAAUGACGGCUUAUUGAGAAGUUAUUGACAGGCUAGUGACAGAUUAUUGAUGGGUUAUUGACAUCUUAUUUAUAGGUUAUUGACAGGUUGUUGCCGUUUUAUGACGAUUAUUGACAGGUUAUUGAUGGGUUAUUGACGGGUUAAUGACGGCUUAUUGAGAAGUUAUUGACAGGCUAGUGACAGAUUAUUGAUGGGUUAUUGACAUCUUAUUUAUAGGUUAUUGACAGGUUGUUGCCGUUUUAUGACGAUUAUUGACAGGUUAUUGAUGGGUUAUUGAUGGCUUAUUGACAGAUUAUUAACAGGUUACUGACGGCUUAUUGAUGGGUUAUUGGUCCUUUCCACAGACGCUGACCCUGACCGUAACGAUUGUACUGACUGCUGAGCCAUUGCUGAGCUCUUCAGAGAGACAUGUCCAUAUAUUUUUCUACAGUGUUCGUAUGUCACAGAGAAAUGUUUAUAACUUUAAUUUGUUUUAAUUUAUGUUCAGCUGUGUGAUGUCUUUCUGUAUAGAUUAUCUAUAGAUUAUUGGUUGUAUCAUCUCCUAUGUGUUUGAUUUGCUGGAAUAUUGGCUCCAGUUUCUUGGUUGAGUUUCUGUUGUCCUGUUUAUAUCUCUGUCACAGGUGCUCAUACCUGUAAGUUUACCUGUGCUUGUACCUGUAAGUGUACCUGUGCUCGUCUGUAUGUGAGCAGCUUAUUAAACACACAACACAAAAUUAUCAGCUCUCUAAUUAUUCAUCCAGAAACUCUAUGAUAAUCUGAGCAGGAUUAUUUCAGUACAACUGAACUCUGAG